CCUACGGGAGGCUGCAGUGGGGGAUAUUGCACAAUGGGGGGAACCCUGAUGCAGCGACGCCGCGUGGGUGAAGAAGCGCCUCGGCGCGUAAAGCCCUGUCAGCAGGGAAGAAAAUGACGGUACCUGAAGAAGAAGCCCCGGCUAACUACGUGCCAGCAGCCGCGGUAAUACGUAGGGGGCAAGCGUUAUCCGGAUUUACUGGGUGUAAAGGGGGCGCAGACGGUGAUGCAAGCCAGGAGUGAAAGCCCGGGGACCAACCCCGGGACUGCUCUUGGAACUGCGUGGCUGGAGUGCAGGAGGGGCAGGCGGAAGUCCUGGUGUAGCGGUGAAAUGCGUAGAUAUCAGGAGGAACACCGGUGGCGAAGGCGGCCUGCUGGACUGCAACUGACGUUGAGGCCCGAAAGCGUGGGGAGCAAACAGGAUUAGAUACCCUAGUAGUC
rnacentral:rRNA from 1 species